rnacentral:rRNA from 1 species
GAUGAACGCUAGCGGCAGGCUUAACACAUGCAAGUCGAGGGGCAGCAUAAUGGAUAGCAAUAUCUAUGGUGGCGACCGGCGCACGGGUGCGUAACGCGUAUGCAACCUACCUUUAACAGGGGGAUAACACUGAGAAAUUGGUACUAAUACUCCAUAAUAUCAUAGAAGGCAUCUUUUAUGGUUGAAAAUUCCGAUGGUUAGAGAUGGGCAUGCGUUGUAUUAGCUAGUUGGUGGGGUAACGGCUCACCAAGGCGACGAUACAUAGGGGGACUGAGAGGUUAACCCCCCACACUGGUACUGAGACACGGACCAGACUCCUACGGGAGGCAGCAGUGAGGAAUAUUGGUCAAUGGACGCAAGUCUGAACCAGCCAUGCCGCGUGCAGGAUGACGGCUCUAUGAGUUGUAAACUGCUUUUGUACGAGGGUAAACGCAGAUACGUGUAUCUGUCUGAAAGUAUCGUACGAAUAAGGAUCGGCUAACUCCGU